CUCUUCUUGAUGAUACUGAUGUUACAGAUGCUUCCUUAAUGACCUUGACCACACAGUCAAAUGUUACAGCUUGUUUAAUUUAAAUGUCUGCGUUGUUUCUGUCUUCAGACCAGCCGACGCUUCACACGGACCUCGGUCCUUGUGCACAGCUUCCACUGGUCCUGUCCCAGGCCGAUCUUGAAGAGGGUCGCGGCAACACCCAUGUCCCGUUCCAAGCCUCGCUCUGUAAGUAGGAAACCACACUGACAACAUAGAUAGGCCAUUAGCAUGCUCUCAAAACAACGUACAAAACUUUUAUAGUCUGAAUGAUUUUAAUUACAGAAAUAUGUUUAUGAAUUUGUCUUUUUUAAUUUUAAUUUUCUUUAACAUUAAUUUAUUUCAAAGAUGUGAAACCUUCCCCUGGAAAAAUCAUUUCUGCAGACUUCAGAUUUUAUAAUUUGUCGUUUUUUCUGUCUCAGGUCCAAGUGUAGCAGUACAGCCUCGUCCAGAACCAGGAUAAGUCCACUCCUAGGCUGUUACUGAGGAAGGUCCCACCGAUGGACGGCCCUCCACAUUUCUCCUCCCCCAAGCUCAACCAGGUAAGUCACUCUCACUCCUCUUCUGUCUCUCCCUCUUUCUCUCCCUCUCCUCCUGUCUCUCUGAGAAAAAAAGAAAAAAGAAAGAAAAAAGAAAAAAAAAAAAAAAAGAAAAAAGAAAGAAAGAAAAAAAGAAAAAAGAAAGAAAAAAAAGAAAAAAAAAAAAGAAAGAAAGAAAGAAAGAAAAAAGAAAGAAAAAAGAAAGAAAGAAAAAAGAAAGAAAAAAGAAAGAAAAAAAAGAAAGAAAAAAGAAAGAAAGAAAAAAGAAAAAAGAAAGAAAGAAAAAGGAAAGAAAAAAAGAAAGAAAGAAAAAAGAAGAAAAAGAAAAAAGAAAGUAAAAAAAAGAAAAAAGAAAGAAAAAAAAGAAAGAAAAAAUGAAAAAAGAAAGAAAGAAAAAAAAAAAAGAAAGAAAGAAAAAAGAAAAAAAAGACAAAAGAAAGAGAAAAAAGAAAGAAAAAAGAAAUGAAAGAAAAAAAGGAAAGAAAGAAAAAAGAAAAGAAGAAAAAAGAAAGAAAAGAAGAAAGAAAGAAAGAGAGAAAAAACGGACCUCGGUCCUUGUGCACAGCUUCCACUGGUCCUGUCCCAGGCCGAUCUUGAAGAGGGUCGCGGCAACACCCAUGUCCCAUUCCAAGCCUCGCUGUGUAAGUAGGAAACCACACUGACAACAUAGAUAGGCCAUUAGCAUGCCCUCUAAACAACGUACAAAACUUUUAUAGUCUGAAUGAUUUUAAUUACAGAAAUAUGUUUAUGAAUUUGUCUUUUUUAAUUUUAAUUUUCUUUAACAUUAAUUUAUUUCAAAGAUGUGAAACCUUCCCCUGGAAAAAUCAUUUCUGCAGACUUCAGAUUUUAUAAUUUGUCGGUUUUUCUGUCUCAGGUCCAAGUGUAGCAGUACAGCCUCGUCCAGAACCAGGAUAAGUCCACUCCUAGGCUGUUACUGAGGAAGGUCCCACCGAUGGACGGCCCUCCACAUUUCUCCUCCCCCAAGCUCAACCAGGUAAGUCACUCUCACUCCUCUUCUGUCUCUCCCUCUUUCUCUUCCUCUCCUCCUGUCUCUCUGAGAAAAAAAGAAAAAAGAAAGAAAAAAAGAAAAAAGAAAAAAGAAAGAAAGAAAAAAAGAAAAAGAGAAAGAAAAAGAAAGAAAGAAAAAAGAAAAAGAAAAGAAAAAGAAAAAAGAAAGUAAAAAAAAGGAAAAAAAGAAAGAAAAAAGAAAAAAGAAAGAAAAAAAAGAAAGAAAAAAGAAAGAAAGAAAAAAGAAAGAAAGAAAAAAAGAAAGAAAAAAAAGAAAGAAAGAAAAAAAAAAGAAAAAAGAAAGAAAGAAAAAAAAAGAGAAAAAAGAAUGAAAAAAGAAAGAAAGAAAGAAAAAAGAAAAAAAAGAAAUAAGAAAGAAAUAAAAAAGGAAAAAAAGACAAAAGAAAGAAAAAAGAAAAAAAAGACAAAAGAAAGAGAAAAAAGAAAGAAAAAAGAAAGAAAAAAGAAAUGAAAGAAAAAAAGAAAAGAAGAAAAAAGAAAGAAAAGAAGAAAGAAAGAAAGAGAGAAAAAACGGACCUCGGUCCUUGUGCACAGCUUCCACUGGUCCUGUCCCAGGCCGAUCUUGAAGAGGGUCGCGGCAACACCCAUGUCCCAUUCCAAGCCUCGCUGUGUAAGUAGGAAACCACACUGACAACAUAGAUAGGCCAUUAGCAUGCCCUCUAAACAACGUACAAAACUUUUAUAGUCUGAAUGAUUUUAAUUACAGAAAUAUGUUUAUGAAUUUGUCUUUUUUAAUUUUAAUUUUCUUUAACAUUAAUUUAUUUCAAAGAUGUGAAACCUUCCCCUGGAAAAAUCAUUUCUGCAGACUUCAGAUUUUAUAAUUUGUCGGUUUUUCUGUCUCAGGUCCAAGUGUAGCAGUACAGCCUCGUCCAGAACCAGGAUAAGUCCACUCCUAGGCUGUUACUGAGGAAGGUCCCACCGAUGGACGGCCCUCCACAUUUCUCCUCCCCCAAGCUCAACCAGGUAAGUCACUCUCACUCCUCUUCUGUCUCUCCCUCUUUCUCUUCCUCUCCUCCUGUCUCUCUGAGAAAAAAAGAAAAAAGAAAGAAAAAAGAAAGAAAAAAAGAAAAAAGAAAAAAAGAAAGAAAGAAAAAAGAA
rnacentral:lncRNA from 1 species